rnacentral:rRNA from 1 species
ACGCUGGCGGCAGGCCUAACACAUGCAAGUCGAGCGGUAGCACAGAGAGCUUGCUCUCGGGUGACGAGCGGCGGACGGGUGAGUAAUGUCUGGGAAACUGCCUGAUGGAGGGGGAUAACUACUGGAAACGGUAGCUAAUACCGCAUAAUGUCGCAAGACCAAAGUGGGGGACCUUCGGGCCUCAUGCCAUCAGAUGUGCCCAGAUGGGAUUAGCUAGUAGGUGGGGUAACGGCUCACCUAGGCGACGAUCCCUAGCUGGUCUGAGAGGAUGACCAGCCACACUGGAACUGAGACACGGUCCAGACUCCUACGGGAGGCAGCAGUGGGGAAUAUUGCACAAUGGGCGCAAGCCUGAUGCAGCCAUGCCGCGUGUGUGAAGAAGGCCUUCGGGUUGUAAAGCACUUUCAGCGGGGAGGAAGGCGGUGAGGUUAAUAACCUCAUCGAUUGACGUUACCCGCAGAAGAAGCACCGGCUAACUCCGUGCCAGCAGCCGCGGUAAUACGGAGGGUGCAAGCGUUAAUCGGAAUUACUGGGCGUAAAGCGCACGCAGGCGGUCUGUCAAGUCGGAUGUGAAAUCCCCGGGCUCAACCUGGGAACUGCAUUCGAAACUGGCAGGCUAGAGUCUUGUAGAGGGGGGUAGAAUUCCAGGUGUAGCGGUGAAAUGCGUAGAGAUCUGGAGGAAUACCGGUGGCGAAGGCGGCCCCCUGGACAAAGACUGACGCUCAGGUGCGAAAGCGUGGGGAGCAAACAGGAUUAGAUACCCUGGUAGUCCACGCCGUAAACGAUGUCGAUUUGGAGGUUGUGCCCUUGAGGCGUGGCUUCCGGAGCUAACGCGUUAAAUCGACCGCCUGGGGAGUACGGCCGCAAGGUUAAAACUCAAAUGAAUUGACGGGGGCCCGCACAAGCGGUGGAGCAUGUGGUUUAAUUCGAUGCAACGCGAAGAACCUUACCUGGUCUUGACAUCCACAGAACUUUCCAGAGAUGGAUUGGUGCCUUCGGGAACUGUGAGACAGGUGCUGCAUGGCUGUCGUCAGCUCGUGUUGUGAAAUGUUGGGUUAAGUCCCGCAACGAGCGCAACCCUUAUCCUUUGUUGCCAGCGGUUCGGCCGGGAACUCAAAGGAGACUGCCAGUGAUAAACUGGAGGAAGGUGGGGAUGACGUCAAGUCAUCAUGGCCCUUACGACCAGGGCUACACACGUGCUACAAUGGCAUAUACAAAGAGAAGCGACCUCGCGAGAGCAAGCGGACCUCAUAAAGUAUGUCGUAGUCCGGAUUGGAGUCUGCAACUCGACUCCAUGAAGUCGGAAUCGCUAGUAAUCGUAGAUCAGAAUGCUACGGUGAAUACGUUCCCGGGCCUUGUACACACCGCCCGUCACACCAUGGGGAGUGGGUUGCAAAAGAAGUAGGUAGCUUAACCUUCGGGAGGGCGCUUACCACUUUGUGAUUCA